UGCCUAAUACAUGCAAGUCGAACGAACUCUGGUAUUGAUUGGUGCUUGCAUCAUGAUUUACAUUUGAGUGAGUGGCGAACUGGUGAGUAACACGUGGGAAACCUGCCCAGAAGCGGGGGAUAACACCUGGAAACAGAUGCUAAUACCGCAUAACAACUUGGACCGCAUGGUCCGAGCUUGAAAGAUGGCUUCGGCUAUCACUUUUGGAUGGUCCCGCGGCGUAUUAGCUAGAUGGUGGGGUAACGGCUCACCAUGGCAAUGAUACGUAGCCGACCUGAGAGGGUAAUCGGCCACAUUGGGACUGAGACACGGCCCAAACUCCUACGGGAGGCAGCAGUAGGGAAUCUUCCACAAUGGACGAAAGUCUGAUGGAGCAACGCCGCGUGAGUGAAGAAGGGUUUCGGCUCGUAAAACUCUGUUGUUAAAGAAGAACAUAUCUGAGAGUAACUGUUCAGGUAUUGACGGUAUUUAACCAGAAAGCCACGGCUAACUACGUGCCAGCAGCCGCGGUAAUACGUAGGUGGCAAGCGUUGUCCGGAUUUAUUGGGCGUAAAGCGAGCGCAGGCGGUUUUUUAAGUCUGAUGUGAAAGCCUUCGGCUCAACCGAAGAAGUGCAUCGGAAACUGGGAAACUUGAGUGCAGAAGAGGACAGUGGAACUCCAUGUGUAGCGGUGAAAUGCGUAGAUAUAUGGAAGAACACCAGUGGCGAAGGCGGCUGUCUGGUCUGUAACUGACGCUGAGGCUCGAAAGUAUGGGUAGCAAACAGGAUUAGAUACCCUGGUAGUCCAUACCGUAAACGAUGAAUGCUAAGUGUUGGAGGGUUUCCGCCCUUCAGUGCUGCAGCUAACGCAUUAAGCAUUCCGCCUGGGGAGUACGGCCGCAAGGCUGAAACUCAAAGGAAUUGACGGGGGCCCGCACAAGCGGUGGAGCAUGUGGUUUAAUUCGAAGCUACGCGAAGAACCUUACCAGGUCUUGACAUACUAUGCAAAUCUAAGAGAUUAGACGUUCCCUUCGGGGACAUGGAUACAGGUGGUGCAUGGUUGUCGUCAGCUCGUGUCGUGAGAUGUUGGGUUAAGUCCCGCAACGAGCGCAACCCUUAUUAUCAGUUGCCAGCAUUAAGUUGGGCACUCUGGUGAGACUGCCGGUGACAAACCGGAGGAAGGUGGGGAUGACGUCAAAUCAUCAUGCCCCUUAUGACCUGGGCUACACACGUGCUACAAUGGAUGGUACAACGAGUUGCGAACUCGCGAGAGUAAGCUAAUCUCUUAAAGCCAUUCUCAGUUCGGAUUGUAGGCUGCAACUCGCCUACAUGAAGUCGGAAUCGCUAGUAAUCGCGGAUCAGCAUGCCGCGGUGAAUACGUUCCCGGGCCUUGUACACACCGCCCGUCACACCAUGAGAGUUUGUAACACCCAAAGUCGGUGGGGUAACCUUUUAGGAACCAGCCGCCUAA
rnacentral:rRNA from 1 species